rnacentral:rRNA from 1 species
GACGAACGCUGGCGGCGUGCUUAACACAUGCAAGUCGAACGGAAAGGCCCUGCUUUUGUGGGGUGCUCGAGUGGCGAACGGGUGAGUAACACGUGAGUAACCUGCCCUUGACUUUGGGAUAACUUCAGGAAACUGGGGCUAAUACCGGAUAGGAGAUCCUGCUGCAUGGUGGGGGUUGGAAAGUUUCGGCGGUUGGGGCUGGACUCGCGGGUUAUCAGCUUGUUGGUGGGGUAGUGGCUUACCAAGGCUUUGACGGGUAGCCGGCCUUGGAAGGUGACCGGACUCCUUGCGCCUACGGUACGCCCCAGACGCCAAUGGGCGGCAGCAGUGGGAAGUAUUGCACAAUGGGCGGAAGCCUGAUGCAGCAACGCCGCGUGCGUGAUGCCGGCCUUCGGGUUGUAAACCAAUUUCGCCUGUGACGAAGCGUGAGUGACGGUAAUGGGUAAAGAAGCACCGGCUAACUACGUG